AAACGCUGAAGGCAUCUAAGCGUGAAGCCCCCCUCAAGAUGAGAUGUCCCAUUCGAAAGAAGUAAACCCCCUUGAAGACGACGAGGUAGAUAGGGCAGGGGUGGAAGUGCAGUAAUGCAUGGAGCUGACUGUUACUAAUAGGGUGAGGGCUUGACCAA
rnacentral:rRNA from 1 species